UACGUAGGGGGCGAGCGUUGUCCGGAGUUACUGGGCGUAAAGGGCAUGCAGGCGGUCCGACACGUUUUGUGUGACAGCGGGUGGCUUAACUACCCGAGGAUACGAAAGACGGUUGGACUUGAGGACUCGAGAGGGACACGGAAUUCCGGGUGUAGUGGUGAAAUGCGUAGAGAUCCGGAGGAACACCAGUGGCGAAGGCGACACGCUGGGCCGUACCUGACACUGAUGCGCGACAGCAUGGGGAGCAAACAGG
rnacentral:rRNA from 1 species